rnacentral:siRNA from 1 species
UCGAACACAUACAUUUCUAGGGGU